AUUUUGACAGCGAAAAUUAAAUUAAAUAAAUCAAAACAAAUAAAUCAAAACAAAAGUGAAAAUUAAUAAAACAAAGUUGUUAAUAGUACUCCUGAUUAACUGUUUUAUCUAUAUUAUAUAAAUAAUUUUAUACAAAAUGAUCCAGAGUCAACUAAUUCAUCGAUCUAAAAAGUGACUUCAUCAUAUCCGAAGAAGUAUUUCCCUACGUAACUUGGCUCUAGCUGAUAGAGGAUUCUUUCAGGAUCUCUUUCCAGACACCGCUGGUCCGGAAAUGGCAAAACUUUUCACAGGUAAACAACAAACAAUCUACACCGGCUUUGAUCAAGCUGCCGAUAGUCCAACGUUGACAAUCUCCUGGUAAUAAUUGGACUUCUGCAUGGCAUCGAGAAAGACACAAUCCAAUUGCGUUAUUUGGAAUACGGGUCUUAUCGGUAAUCCUAGUGGCAAAGCAAAACGAAAUAAACUAGGGUUGUCGGUCAUUGAGACAAAUUAGAGUCGUCAACAAUGCAUCAUGGUAAGAAAAUCUGAAUGUAGAGGACUUUGUUGCCAAUAUGGGAAGACACUUUCGAAUUACUGCUCUCAAUAUCGUCAGUCCAGUCGCGACUUAAUAGUGCAGCUAGAAUGAGCUUUACUGAAUUCACAUAACAAAUUUUCCAGGGUUAUGACUUGUUGCAUUUGCUUCAGAAAUACAAUUGUCGCUUUCAAAUGGGAGGCAGUGAACAAUGGGUAACUUAAUGACUGGCCACGAACUAUCAGCAGAGUAGAAAAAAAGAAAUCAGUAUUUGGAUUGGCACUUCAAAUAGUGAUCAACGAAGGAGAAGACAAGUUCCGAAAAUCUGCUGGCAAUGGUAUUUGGCUGGACGAAGAAAAAAGUCGCCAUUUGUUCUUUAUCAGUUCUUUUUGAAAAUGCCAGAUUCUGAAGUCGAGAAGCUUCUCAAGUUGUUCACUUUUAUCCCACAAAGAAGAAAUUGCAUUUCUCAUUGAAGAACACAAAAAAAUACCAGAGAAGAGAAAAGCACAAAGAAGAUGUGACGCUUCAAGUCUAUGGAGAGGUAUGUCUAAAACAAGACGAAAAAGUCACAGCGGCGCUCUAUAAGGGAAAUGUUGAAGGACUAGGUGAACUGAAUUACAACGAAAUCCGAUCGUUGAGAUUUUUUCAGAGCCUGGACUAUCCAUUCUUGAUCUGGCACUAAAAGCUAAAUGUUUUACAACUGAGACUGAUGCGAUCAGAAUCAUCACAACUGGAGGGUUCUAUAUCAAUCAAAAGUAAAUGUAGUUUAUGUGUUCCGUUCCCAUUUUCAUAUGUUUUGUAUUUUAUUUAUUUAUUACAUCAAUUAGAGUUAAGAGUAUACUCAAAUAGACUAAUGAAUAUGACAAGUUUUAUUUAAAAUAUUAUAUUAUAAACUAAGAAUGUAAAGUUAAAAAAAAUAAACUAAGCAUACAUAUA